rnacentral:lncRNA from 1 species
UGUCACACCGCAAGGCUUGAACACCUAGGUUCACACUUCUGAUAAUAUCUUAAUUCCUGGUCUCGCAGCUGAGUCACAGAAUUGGAGGAAAAAGAUCAUCCCCUUCACCCACACCAGGGAUGUAAAACUGUAGAGGAUCAAGAGCUUUGCCCAUCAAAACUUAGAGCUUUCUACUUACAAUUCAAACUACUUGUACUACUUCUUAGCAGCCCCAUUUACCUUGUGGGCAGAUGAAGCCUGCUGGGCAGGGCUGACAGGGGGCAGCGCUGGCAGAGACGUUCCGAUAGCUGCCUGCGUCACAGAUUCUGCAGAAUUUCUCAAAUGAAUCCCUUGGACCAGGCAAGCUGAGGGCCAUGAAUCCUCCUUCACAAGGCAGUGGAUGGGCACUGCCUGGGGGGCAGUAGUAGGGAAACACACACCUGGAAAGCAAAACAAGGCAGGAAGAGAGGAGAAAAUUCUCUGAAAAUGUUCUGAUUUCUGGACUCAAAAAAAAAAACCUUAAAGCUGGCUCCACCAAACACAUGAAGUACUUACAGCUGCUCAGGGCUAUUGUAGGUUGAUGAGCCUUCAGGACAGAAAUAUCCAGCAGGGCACAUGGAAGGCACGGCUGUGUGAGCACCACAGUAUGAGCCAGGCCUGCAAGGCUUUGGAUUCACUGAACCUGGGGAAAAAGGGGAACCAGUGACUGAUUUAUGUGACAUUCACAGAACAGGAGGGCAUGUGUUGGCAAGACAGUGAGCAAUGGAGCUUUAUUAAGUGUUACUGUCCAUAAAAACUCUACUGUUUCUAUUGCUUACAAAAGGACAGAGAUCCUUUGGAAACCAAUUAGUCAUUUAGCAUGAGAUGCUAACACACCUGAGUAUCUAGCCCUGGAUUACUUAUGCCCGCUGUGCACUGCUCACCUAUCUGGACUCAGAAAAAGACGGAAAUAAAGAAAACCAAGAUGCAUGGUUAUAUCACCUGCUGGGCAUUCAAAGCCAGGUUUACAAGGAUGACUAUCACACAGCUGUUAGGAUUCUGUGCCUAUAGAGAGCCAAUUCAACAGCCUUCAGACUCUUCUGGACUGGCAGCUUAGCACCACAAAUUCAAGGUGGCAUAUUUGGCCAGGAACAACUCUUUGUUCAAACGACGUAAAA